GGUCCCUACGGGGGGCAGCAGUAGGGAAUCUUCCACAAUGGACGAAAGUCUGAUGGAGCAACGCCGCGUGAGUGAAGAAGGGUUUCGGCUCGUAAAUCUCUGUUGGGAGUGGAGAAAGAUAGAGGUAGUAACUGGCCUUUUUUUGACGGUAAUUACUUAGAAAGUCACGGCUAACUACGUUCCAGCAGCCGCGGUAAUAAGUAGGUGGCAAGCGUUGUCCGGAUUUAUUGGGCGUAAAGCGAGUGCAGGCGG
rnacentral:rRNA from 1 species